rnacentral:rRNA from 1 species
UCCGUAGGUGAACCUGCGGAAGGAUCAUUAUCGUUGGGGCUCCGGCCCUAUCGAGAUAGUACCCUUGCCCUUUAUUUGCGUACCUGUUUGUUUCCUCGGUGGGCUCGCCCGCCAAUGGGGACCUAACUUAACUCUUGUAUAAUUUUGUCUUAGUCUGAAUAAAAAUCAAAAAUUAAAACUUUCAACAACGGAUCUCUUGGUUCUGGCAUCGAUGAAGAACGCAGCGAAAUGCGAUAAGUAGUGUGAAUUGCAGAAUUCAGUGAAUCAUCGAAUCUUUGAACGCACAUUGCGCCCUUUGGUAUUCCUUAGGGCAUGCCUGUUCGAGCGUCAUUUACAUCUUCAAGCUUAGCUUGGUGUUGGGUGUCUGUCUCUGCCCCUCCGGGGGUGUGGACUCGCCUCAAAUUUAUUGGCAGCCGGUACCGUGGCUUCGAGCGCAGCAAAUUAGCGACCUCAUCGCCUGAGCGUACUGGCUCCCAGAAGCCUAUUUUUCUUGUUUUGACCUCGGAUCAGGUAGGGAUACCCGCUGAACUUAA